rnacentral:pre_miRNA from 1 species
CUAAGUAGUAGUGCCGCAGGUAACAUGACUUGGGAUUACCUGCUCCCUGCUGCUUAACU